rnacentral:rRNA from 1 species
UACAGAGGUCCCAAGCGUUGUUCGGAUUCACUGGGCGUAAAGGGUGCGUAGGUGGUCGGGUAAGUCUGAUGUGAAAGCUCGGAGCCUAACUCCGAAAUGGCAUCGGAUACUACUCGGCUUGAGGUCUGGAGGGGAGACUGGAAUUCUCGGUGUAGCAGUGAAAUGCGUAGAUAUCGAGAGGAACGCCAAUGGCGAAGGCUGGUCUCUGGACAGAUUCUGACACUGAGGCACGAAAGCUAGGGGAGCAAACAGG